UCACCGGGUAGAAAUCAUCUCA
rnacentral:miRNA from 1 species